AAGACACUGAAGCAGCUAACUUUGUGGAAAUGUAUAUUUGUCAUUCUCAACUUUUGGCCAGGACUGUACAUACAAGAAACAAAUACUCUUUAUACCGCCUAUGUACUGAAUCUAUAACCUACUUUAACUGAUAGUGUUGUCUUGGUGUGUGUGUGAUAAAUAGUUGUGUUGUAACUGAUUAAUUACACUACCUUUCAAAAGUGUGUGGUCACUUAGAAAUAUCCUUGUUUUUGAAAGAAAAGCACUUUUUGUUGUCCAUUAAAAUAACACAAAAUUGAUCAGAAAUACAGUGUAGACAUUGUCAAUGUUGUAAAUGACUAUUGUAGCUGGACAUGGCUGAUUUUUAAUGGAAUAUCUACAUAAGCGUACAGAGGCCCAUUAUCAGCAUCCCUCACUCCUGUGUUCUAAUGGCAUGUUGUGUUAGCAAAUCCAAGUUUAUCAUUUUAAAAGGCUAAUUUGAUCAUUAGAAAACCCUUUUGCAAUUAUGUUAGCAAAGCUGAAAACUGUAUUGCUGAUUAAAGAAGGAAUAAAACUGGCCUUCUUUAGACUAGUUGAGCAUCAGCAUUUGUGGAUUUUAUUACAGGCUCAAAAUGGCCAGAAACAAAGAACGUUCUUCUGAAACUCGUCAGUCUUCUUGUUCUGAGAAAUGAAGGCUAUUCCAUGCGAGAAAUUGCCAAGAAACUGAAGAUCUCGUACAACGCUGUGUGCUACUCCCUUCACAGAACAGCGCAAACUGGCUCUAACCAGAAUGGAAAGAGAAGUGGGAGGCCCUGGUGCCAACUGACCAAGAGGACAAGUACAUUAGAAUGUCUAGUCUGAGAAUCAGAUGCCUUACAAGUCCUCAACUGGCAGCUUCAUUAAAUAGUACUUGCAAAACACCAGUCUCAACUUCAACAGUGAAGAGGUGACUCCGGGAUGCUGGCCUUCUAGGCAGAGUUGCAAAGAAAAAGCCAUAUCUCAGACUGGUCAAUAAAAGAUUGAGAUGGGCAAAAGAACACAGACACUGGACAGAGGAACUCUGCCUAGAAGGCCAGCAUCCCGUAGUCGCUGCUUCACUGUUGACGUUGAGACUGGUGUUUUGCAGGUACUUUUUAAUGAAGCUGCCAGUUGAGGACUUGUGAGGCAUCUGUUUCUCAAAGUAGACACACUAAUGGACAAACAAAUGGCUUUUCUUUCAAAAGCAAGGACCUUUCUAAGUGACCCCAAACUUUUGAACGAUAGUGUACAUUGUAUUUAUUCUAAAUGAUUAGGCAACUGUUAUUAUAAGAAUGUGUCAAUGACUUGUUAUCUGCUAAGUCAUUACAUUGACUAAUAAAUAUGAACAAUGUUAAGGCUGUUUAACCAAACUGCACAAUGCAAUAAAUUAUUUUAAAAAAU
ensembl:lncRNA